GCUCUGCUCAGUUAGUUAGGGAAAGACACUCAGCCACCAGAGCUCAAGAAAAGGUGUAUCAGAUAGUGCACAUCAUCAUGUGGAGCAAGUCGGGGCUUCCACCACUUGAGCAGGGAUGCCGUUUUACCCUAUUUAUUUAUGUAUGCAACAUUUAAAUUCCAAGACACAAUCUAAAGAUGUUCUGAGCUGUAUAAAAGUUUGAUAGAGGAGACGAGCAUUUAAUAAGGCUUCACAGGGUGUUUUUGGAAGGAGAGACAAGACUCUUUUUCUUUUUUUUUUCAUAAGCUUUGCGGAAUAAAGACAAAAGGAGGAUGGAAACAUUUCCAUGAAUCAGCUCUGUUACCCUCCCACCCCGAUCAACCCAUCAACUGACUCCAUUCUUCAACUUGACAUCAUCCUUCCACACAGACAAGAAGAAGAAGAAGAAGAGGAGGAGGAGGAGGAGGAGGAGGAGAGAGAAGCAGAGGUGCGGAGGCAAACAGACGUGAAAGAGGAGGAAGAGCAGAGAGGAGGUGGGCAGUACAGUUUCAGCUCUCACAAGGCUGAGGAGGAGAAAGUGACAGCAGCAAGAACUUGGCCACUAGUGAGAUGAAAUUUGGGGAGGAGACGCUGGAGCGCUGCGGGAGACAACAUCCAACGAGAGCCCUGAAAUUGGACCGCCUGGGAGACGAGCCAGCCCUCUCUGGAUCCCACGCCACGCCACAGCCGAAGGAUGAGCGGGGUCGACUUUCACCUUAGUUGCCAGGGAUGUCUGUGCACUACGGAAAGGAGUCCCCCCCCAGCAUGUCCAAUGCUAUGUUAUUCCUGAUGCUUUGCAAGGUGGAUUCAACACAGAGAGCACAGUGUAAACAGAAAGCAAAACACAUGCCAAUGCAACUAAAAGAUUGGUCGGAGACGGAAACUGCAGACUUUUCCUGGGAAAAUGGUAAACACUGUCUACAGUGAUGAGGAAAAGGGAAUCCAAGACAAGGAAAGUAAGGAGGAGUCCAUCUUGGCCAUGUUGGGCAUCAUUGGGACCAUUCUCAACUUGGUAGUCAUCAUCUUUGUCUACAUCUACACCACCUUGUAGCUCUCAGACUCUUAUCAGCGGGCAGGGCGGGGCAUAUCUGAGCCGCUUUAGCCAUGGUGACUGGUGUGGAGGUACAAAUGGGAGGAACAAGGAAGAGGCUGAACUCACCCAGUGGUGAACUGGAUCUAAGACUGUGCGAUUGCUGUACGGCAUCGAUCCUGCAUCAUUUCCAACAGCUGAGACUCUGGGGACCUGUCUUGUUCCCCUCCCCUCUACAGGUAGAAUUACACAGAAUAUCUUUUGACUUUGUAUAGAAAUGCAUGAAGCUCAUGAGAGACCCUCAGAGGAGACAGCCUAUACCAACACACGGACUCAUUUGGAGGAUAUUUUUCAAUGUUCUUAUCGGCCGAAACAUGAAAAUUGUCUGAUUUCCUUCCACGGGAUCGAAGAUGAAGAUGUACAGAGAAUCUAAACACAGGUAUCUGCAUUGCCGCUAGCAAGUAAAACACAACAUUCUUCCAUUUAUAUAAGAAUCAAACGGACAUGUUUAAGAAAAUGUUCUUCAGUUUGAUGUAAUGCUCGCUUUUAUACACAGUAUUACAGAUGAAUUGACUCUGGAUGACUAUUUAUUUAUUUAUUUAUUUAUGGAGUUCAUGCACACUUGAAAAUGAUUCACACAGUUUCAGGUUGUUAAUGUGUAUUUGCUGAUACAUGUGAUGUCUUUAAAAGGCAUGAAGUGAAGUUAAAAUGCGCUCACAUUGUGCUUGAUGGACGAUCAGACAGAAUUAUGGAAAAACUGGUAGAAAAAAGCAGUGAUUAUCAUUUAUUAUUCAAGUUUUCAUUGCAUCACUUCUGCCUUUAAAGUUCAUAAAUAUUCUAAUAAGAUGCAUCAGUUUAUGGGAAAAUGAAAGAAAAUAAAAUAUUUUUAGCUCAAUGGCUUAAGUCAGAUGCAGAGUUAUAUCAUAACAUUUAGAGCUGCAUGAGUACGUCGACAUGCACAAAGAGCUACAUGGUCAUCAUGUUAGUGAACUAGCACUAGAAAACCUUCACGAAUAAAUGUAAAUAGACACUACUAAGGUUGAAAGCUUGAGUUAGUUUUCAUUUUCAUGAGUAUCAGCUUGUGCAUCUCUGAUUGACAAUUUUGUGCAUAAUGACGGUUUGCCUUAAAUCAUGAGGAAAUGGCAAUUUCCACGAUGUAUAGAAAUGAUCAGGUUAUCACUACUUUGUGAAAAUGUCACCUAUUGUACAUAUUCAAUACCGAUAUAGUAUGUUUUUAUUGGUGGAGGUUCAUUUAAUGGGUUGUUUUUAUAUAUAUAUAUAAAAAGUACUCUGCUCUUGUCAUGCCAAACCUUGGAGGUUUUCACAACUUUAGUUAUUUCCAGACCUGGGUCAAAAUAUGAAACUUUCUCAGUGUCUGAAACUGACAAUUUGUAAAGGUUAACACAUUAACAUGAUCACAAGAAUCUUCUCUUUUUUUUAGUACCUUUCAUUACCUGUCAUUUGUCCUCAGUAUCUGAGAGCAAAGCUGUCUUCAAAUUUAUGUUUACUAAAUAAUUUCAGUGAAUUUCUUUCCACCAAGACAUGUUAUGGUUUUGUUUUGGCACCACAUAGAAGUAUUUGUUUAAAAACAAACAAAAAAAAAAUUGAGACUUGAGACACAAGAGACAGGAAAUUAGUUUGUUGCGUUUUGGAUGCCCACCAUCCACCCCGACCUCCCCCCAGCCAAUGUUAACUGUGGUGCAGUUCAUUCACUUAAAAUGUUUAUUGGCAUUUAAACCUGACUUUUAUGAGACAGUUUCAAAAUGUGGGUCAACAACAGUUCCAUGUGACUUGACCCAGGCCUGGAAAUUUUGUGAUCAAAUCUGAACUGGCUUUUUUACAAAUUGAUUCAUGUCGGGUGAUGAGGCAGUUUGGACUGAAAUUACCUUUAUGUUUGUCAUUAAUUUAUGCAUAACAGCCCUGCAUAUUGAUUUACCUGUAACAGUCUAAUCAGUUAUUUGUUACUUGUAGAUUAAACGGAGGGAAUGGUUCAACAUUGGGGGGAAAAACAGUCCGCUCAGGAGGCGCUGAUUGUGCUACCUUUCGGUAGAGUCCUGUCUUUAUGUCAGACUAAGCUAACAAGCGACUGCAGUAGCUUCAGAUUUAGGAGUCCGAUUUGAAAGUGGUAUCGAUCUUCUGAUGCCACCCCCGCGCAAGAAAACUGUUACCAAAAUGUUGUACCAUUCCUCAAAAGAAAGGAGCUUUAGGGCAAAUAAAUAAUGGUGUACAUUAUGUAGAGAAUGGAAUGCUGUAGACCGCAGGCUUCAUUUUGUGCAUAAUAUUAUGUUUGUGUCUGUCUGUCGAUAACCUUGUGAUUUCAGAAAGUGCCUGAGAUGAAAGUGUCUCGACUUCACCAGCGGAGGUGAAGGAGAGGAAAACAUAAACCAGUGAGCAGAUCUUUCUGACUGACAAACAGGAAUACGUACCCGGAUCUACUCUGCUGGAUUUAUAAUGAGACUGGAUUUCUACUACAUGGCUUAAUUAAUAACAACAAUAAUAAAAGUUUUGUCUCGGGUGAGAUGUUCCUACUUGUUUCCCAGAAUAAGGACAAUGAAAGUUUAGUAAGCACAUGGACAGGUCUUACGAAUGUAUCCAUAUUUGGUGUAAAAGUUGAAUAUUCCUACUAUGCUCAUUGUUUACUUAUCUUUCUUAAAGCAAUGUAUUCUGAACUAUUCUUUAUGUUUUAUUUAUGUGUAUGCAAAAUCUAUUUAAACUCAAUGUAAAGUCUCUUGUGGGUGACAAAUGGAAGGGUUAAAAGUUUUUCAGCCUGCAAAUUUUAUUAAAAAAAAAAAGAAGAAAGAAACAUUAAA